rnacentral:tRNA from 1 species
GAUUCCUUAGUUCAGCUGGGAGAGCGCUAUCUUGUCAAGGUAGAGGUCGCUGGUUCGAACCCAAUCGGAAUCA